ACCUCUUGGUCCUCAGCUCUUUUGUGAGAAGCAGUGCUGUAUAGCCAGAGAGCCUCUUCGCCAGUUGGGUAGACCUUUACCCUCAGGAACUGAGCUGUGGGUUUGUACUUCUGAGAGCAGAAGGAAACAGGAUGUCGUAUACCCUUGUCCAUUAGUGCUUGAAAGGAGUUCAGUCUAAAAUUUUGAGUCCUAUUGCAAGACAUUUGAAAAUGGAAAAAAUGUUGUAUAGUGCUUGUCAUCCUUUCAUUGCUUCCGGAGUGCCUUCAUUAGCAACCCUGUAAAAUCCUGUGCUUUAUCAGAUUUCAUUUAUCACCAUUAAGGAUGACCCCAUCAUGUCUGUCCAUUGUCCACUUGCUCACAUAUUACCUCAUAGCUGUCAAACAAGUAAUAGGUGGAGGUCCAUUGGGCUGGUACUUCCUGUUCACUUUCAGAUGUACUGAUAAAAGGGUUGCUUGGAUGUCCCUCAGGGUUUGAGAUUCUGUCAAGCUAAGGCUGAAGGGUUGGCCUUUCUCCGUCUGUAUUUUAAACACACGUAUGCUCAUCUCAAUAUCAGCUGUGUGAAAGCAAAACUCCCAAAUCUAGAAAUACAAGCUUGUAUUAAUAUGCAGUUUCUUUGUGAACUGCUUGCUCAUCCUUGAGUCUUAACAAUAAAAAAGACCAGUGAUUUCAUGUAUUGUUUAUGAAAUAUAUGAAGAGAUGUACAAUGAAGAAAUAUAAAAGAAAAGCAAGAAAAGCUGUUGACUUACAAUAUCUUAUUUAAAAUUUUCUACUUUUCUUAUGCACACCCUCAUGAGUGUGGAUUUCAUUUCAAAAUUAUCUUGGCUCUGGAAUAUUUUACUGAAACUUGGCAGCUCUCUCUGGCUAUUGUGAAGCUUGAAUUGAGCAGCUCAGUCCCCACUAGGGUGUUAACUAACUUAAUCCAUAAAUACACUGAGAAUUAUAGGUGAUAAUAAAUGCUCACAGUUGGCUCUAUGUAUUU
rnacentral:lncRNA from 1 species